CAAGUCUUGACAUCCCUCUGACCGUUCCUUAACCGGACCUUUCCUUCGGGACAGGGGAGACAGGUGGUGCAUGGUUGUCGUCAGCUCGUGUCGUGAGAUGUUGGGUUAAGUCCCGCAACGAGCGCAACCCCUAUCCCCAGUAGCCAGCGGUUCGGCUGGGCACUCUGAGGAGACUGCCAGGGAUAACCUGGAGGAAGGCGGGGAUGACGUCAAAUCAUCAUGCCCCUUAUGACUUGGGCUACACACGUGCUACAAUGGCGUAAACAAAGGGAAGCGAGCCUGCGAAGGUGAGCAAAUCCCAAAAAUAACGUCCCAGUUCGGACUGCAGUCUGCAACUCGACUGCACGAAGCUGGAAUCGCUAGUAAUCGCGGAUCAGA
rnacentral:rRNA from 1 species